CCUGGUGCCUCUAGCGACGGGGUCACACCUGUUUCCAUCUCGAACACAGCAGUUAAGCCCGCCAGCGCCGAUGGUAGUAAUCCUCGUGGUUGCAAGAGUAGGCCGGUGCCAGGA
rnacentral:rRNA from 1 species